AUGUCCCUUGGGAUCCCUGCCAUUUCCAUGCAAAAUGUGAAUUUGGUGAGUUUUUUAUAAAGUUUUUAAACUUGGUGAUCACAGCCAUAGUCAUGUGACAGGAGACCACAUGGCUGCAGCACAAAGACAGCUCCAUGAAGGGAAGUGAUAUAAGAUGGCACGCAAGACCACAUCAGAGAGAUCAAAAGCUUACAGAGAAAGGAUUAAAUCAGACCAGGAUAAAUACCAGGAGUCCCUCAGGAAAGACAGAGAAAGAUACCUGAAAAAAAAGGAACGAGGUGUUGUUAAAUCUGUGUCAGAAUUGUCCAAGAGAGAGAAAAGAAAAACUAGGAGACAAUGGCGAACAUGUCAACGAAACAGACGCAGGAAGUUGAAAAGAGUAGCUGUAGUAGAGAGAUUUAUGGCUGGAACAACCCCACCACAGUCACCAGAAGACGUUCUUGUUGACCCAGAACAUGUCUCACUUGACAACUCCAGCUCCUAUGAGUCCACCUGAAACACAUCAGUUGCCGGCACCUGAAAACCACACACAGAGAAGAAGAGGAAGAAAAAAGGUUGCGAAGACAAGGGCGAAGGUCUGCAGAGAUCUUCAUGCAACAAAUGCAAAGCUGGAAGAUGCCUUAAGGAAGGUUGAGAAGUACAAGAAAAGAUGUCACCGACUUAAGAAGGAAAUGCUGAUGGUCGAUUCACCGAAGCUCAAAACCAAACAACAGAUGAGACAAGGAACAAAAGAUUUAAGAAGAACUCUGCUGUUUCACAACACAAUUAUUUCCCAAAUAAAAAAGAAAUAUCAAAAUAUGCACGCUGCUAAAGAUCAGCAAUUGAGCGCCAAAGUUGUGGCUGGUAGGCUUUUGAAAAAAUACCGCAUGGUCCGCUUCGCUAAAAAGGAGUUUGGGUUCUCACCUAAGCUGUGAAGGGAAAACGUGACGAGGGCCACCAAACGUCGAUACAUCAAGCCAACAAAAUCAGCAAAGAAGUGGAAGAAAAAAUAACAACAUUUAUUGAGCGUGAUAACAACAAUAGGAUAACAACAGGGAAGAAGGAGACAAUUCCAAAGAAUAAGAAAACAAUGCAAAAGCACUUUCUGGUUGAAACAAUGGGAGCGCUGCACAAGAAGUUUCUGAUGGAGAAUCCUGAAGUAACAGUCUCGUACAGCGAAAUUUGCAAAAAGCGACCAUUCUAGAUGGUAAAACCAACAAUCAGGGACAGAGACACAUGCCUCUGUAAAAUACAUGCACAUCUCCCGUUUAUGGCAGACGGCUUUUUUAUCACAAAGUGAUUAAAUGUGCCAAACUCAAUGACCUUACUGAGUCUUUGGCAUGCACAAAUGCAAAAAAAGAGUGCAUGUACAGGAAGGGCCCUGACUGUAAUGAUAAUGAACUGCAAACUUCUGCUUUUGAUAUAAGCGAGCAAACGUGGUGGUUUGAAUGGAGAAGCAAGGUUGAGGAGAGGGAGAAGAAGAAAAAGGAUGGAACAGAAGAAAAGUUUAAAGUUCACUUCACAGCAAAGGAAAAAGUUCAUGGGACUCUACAUACACUGCUGAAUGAUUUUUCAGACCUACUUAAGAAACCCCAGACAUCAGUAUUCAGCUCUCAGAACCCUAAAGCAGCAUUUAGGAGAGGAUGCUAUUAUCUUGCAAAUUGAUUUUGUGGAGAAUUAUAUGUGUAAAUAUGGGAAUGAGAUGCAAGCCGUCCAUUUUGGUGAUUCCCACCAACAAGCUACUCUCCAUACAGGUGUGGCUAACACCAAAAAUGGGGGGGUGUCAGUCUGUUCUAUUGGCUCCUCAAUGGGCCAUGACCCAUCAGCUACCUGGUCUCAUCUCAACACAGUGCUCCCUUACCUCAAAGAGCUGAACCCAACAGCCACAAUGCUGCAUGCAAUCAGUGAUGGGACCACCACACAAUACAGACCCAAGAAAAACUUCUUCUUGAGCAAAAUCCCCUUUCAAAUGGGAUUUCAGGGGAUCAAAUGGAACUUUCUGGAGGCAGGACAUGGAAAAGGCCCGGCUGAUGGAAUUGGUGCAGCAGUUAAACGGAAGGCUGACUCACUAGUAGUAAACGGUACUGAUCUUCCAAAUGGAAAAGUGCUGUAUGAGCAGCUUUCAAAACAGCCAUCUACUGUGAAGCUGAUGUCACUGAGAAGGAGGAAAUGUACAGUUUUCUUCUUGAUGGCCUGCAGACUAUCCGAGGAACAAUACAGAUACAUCAGGUAGACGUUUUCCACCACACCCACAGGCUUUGUUAUGCAAACAUGAUUUAUGAGUGCAAAACACUUUCAUUUUGUUUUCAUCUGUACCGUGUGUAAUUUCACUUCACUUCACUUGGUAUAUACUUUAUGCAAGUUUCACAGAUAAAUACUGUGAGAAUUCAUUUUUAGCUCAAAUUGAAUUAAAACCAGCCUUAGAGGACAGGAAUGUUUUAGUUUGUUUCAAAACAGGAGUUUAAAUUUGAUUUUGUUCUGAAGUUCAACUCACUUAGUUAACCCUUCAUAAAUGUUUCGAUUUGUUAGCUUUGAAACGGAUGACAUUUCAAGCUGUAUAAAUCUAUGGUUUCAUAAUUAGUCCUAAAGUUAGAAUCUCAAAGAUGUUUUUGUUAAACAAGUGCAAAUCCAAAGAAACACAUUUUACGUUCAGAUGGAGACCACAAGUCAAAACUGUCAGUGUUAGAGUGAGGUCCAAAAAUAUAUCUGCAGUUACUAUUCACUGACAAGGAACCACCAAAGAGAAUGAAACAGGGACUUGUACUUCAACAGCUUUCAGCACUUUUCUGCCAAAUGAUUUUAUGUGCUUAAAGGUUAAAGUUUAGAUGAUGAAGUUCUUCCCUUAAAGAAUUGUGGGUUUUUUUGUGUAAGGGAUAAUACAACUGAACAUUGUUAAAUGUUUUUGUGACGUGUCAUUUCCAACACAUGCAGUCUUUUCUGUCACACAAUGUCACCCCCAUCACAACAUAUUGUAACCAAAAAUGCAUACAAAUUGACAUAACCACAUAAAAAUUGUGCAGUUAUAAGUACUAUUAACUAAUAUUUUUCUGUAUGAUUGUGCCAUGUAAGAAAUUGAUUGAAGACUUAAGCAAAGCAGUUCGAAGAUAUUUUUCAUAUAAAGAAUGGAAAAAAAGGUUAUUUUUAAAAUCCUGAAAAUAAAUACAAUUAUACUUUA